CUGAGCCACCCAGGCACCCCUUAGUGGAAUGUGAGAAGUGAUGUCUGCCACGACCAGAUCUUUUCCUCAAAGAAACUGGCAUGCCUUCAACCUGUUUUUUCCUCUAACCUUCUGGUCUGGAUACAAAAGUGAUGGUGCAGGCAAGAACCCCCAGCUUGGACCCAGAGACAAAAGCCACAUAUUGAAGAUGGCAGAGCCUCUUUACCAGCCCAGAAUGACCUACUUGGACUAUUAGUGUACCAUUUGAUAAGAAGAGGACUACUUUUGUCAGAAAAGAGAAAUAACUCCAGUUUUUGUUUUGCUUGUACUUUGCUACUGACAUUCAAGUAAGUAUAUUGGGUAAUUUUAAAGCUAGCAAUUAUAAACCAUAUAGUUUGCCAAAGCAACUGUAAUAACUCAUGUUUGCUGGCCUAGGUCAUGAGAGCAAACUGCUUUCAGUAGAAGUAAGUCAAUUAUAUGAAACAAUUUUUUUCUAGAUAAUUAGGUAGUAAUUAUGAAGGGAUCUGAUAUUUAGUCACUAAUUUUCCUUAGUAACUAAAUAUUUGAAAUAGGUGCCAUGCCCUUGGAAUGAACCUUAAAAUCUUACCUCCUACCAGGCUGGAUGCAUUAUAAGGCACAGAGGAUGGUGUG